rnacentral:lncRNA from 1 species
GGAACCUUCCAGUGAGACUCCACAACCUGCAGAGUUGCAUGGCACCUCUCAAGAGAAGGGGAUAUAAAGUGCUCCUAUCUGUCAGAAGCUGCAGCAUGUGCUGGCACAGAUUUCCCACCCUCUAGUCGUGGAUCCUCUUGUGCCAAAAUGAAAGCCUGGUGUCUUCUUUUAUGCCCAGAUGCUUCUCUUUUGAAGAAUCAUAACCAGAAAUCC